AUUGAACGCUAGCGGGAUGCUUUACACAUGCAAGUCGAACGGCAGCGCGGACUUCGGUCUGGCGGCGAGUGGCGAACGGGUGAGUAAUGUAUCGGAACGUGCCCAGUAGCGGGGGAUAACUACGCGAAAGCGCAGCUAAUACCGCAUACGCCCUACGGGGGAAAGCAGGGGAUCGUAAGACCUUGCGCUAUUGGAGCGGCCGAUAUCGGAUUAGCUAGUUGGUGAGGUAACGGCUUACCAAGGCGACGAUCCGUAGCUGGUUUGAGAGGAUGACCAGCCACACUGGAACUGAGACACGGCCCAGACUCCUACGGGAGGCAGCAGUGGGGAAUGUUGGACAAAGGGGGCAAGCCCGAUCCAGCCAUGCCGCGUGUGCGAUGAAGGCCUUCGGGUUGUAAAGCACUUUUGGCAGGAAAGAAACGUCGCGAGCUAAUACCUCGCGGAACUGACGGUACCUGCAGAAUAAGCACCGGCUAACUACGUG
rnacentral:rRNA from 1 species